UACGUAGGUGGCAAGCGUUGUCCGGAUUUAUUGGGUUUAAAGGGUGCGUAGGCGGCCUUAUAAGUCAGUGCUGAAAUAUCCCGGCUUAACCGGGAGGGUGGCAUUGAUACUGUAGGACUUGAGUAAAGUUGAGGUUGGCGGAAUUGACGGUGUAGCGGUGAAAUGCUUAGAUAUCGUCAAGAACACCGAUAGUGUAGACAGCUAACUAAGCUUUAACUGACGCUGAGGCACGAAAGUGUGGGGAUCAAACAGG
rnacentral:rRNA from 1 species